GGUAAACUUGGCAACUGCAGACAUUCUGUUCCUCUGUACGUUUCCAUUUCUUGCCUACCAGUCUGCCAAGAGCUGGAUCUUUGGUGAAGUUAUGUGCAGAAUUAUUCGAGGUGCAUACCGAAUCAAUUUAUUCACUUCAAUGUUAACCCUUACAUGUAUCACCUUUGACAGAUUUAUUUCUAUAACUCAGGCUACUAAGUUAAACCAUGUUCAAUUAUAUAAACAUAAGUGGGGUGGAGGAAUUUGUACAGCAGUUUGGAUAUUGUCUGUAUUUUUGGCUAUACCACAGUUUAAACACAGUACAACUGGACCUUUUAAUAACAUCUGUAAUGAAAUAUAUGAGAAUUCUGUUAUUGAGGUUUUAGUUACAUCUAUUCAAAUGGCAGUUGGAUUUUAUGUGCCAUUAAUAGCAAUGCUUAUUUGUUAUACUUUAAUCAUAAACACUUUGAUAAAUGCAAGCAGUUUUCAGAAGCCCAAGUCUUUCAAAAUAAUUUUUACUUUAGUAGUAGUAUUUAUUGCUACACAGCUGCCUUUCAAUGUUGUAAUACUUCUUUAUACUUUAGGUACUAAGCUCCGAACACAGAAUUCUUUUGUAAAAGCAUUGAUUAUAAGUGAAGUCAUUGCUUACCUGCAUGCAUGUCUUAACCCAAUUUUAUAUUUCUUUGUUGGGAUAAAAUUUCGCAAAAAUUUCUGGAAAAUUCUGAAAGAUUUAGGAUUAGUAAAGCAUUUCAAUGGACAUACUAAUAAUCUCAAGACUACAGAAGCAGACUCAAAAAAUAUCUCUGCUUCAACAAAUGUAGAAGCAAUUUGUAUGAACCAGACUUAAAGGUACACUCAAAACACCAUAACCAGUACAUAACAGUGCAGUUUUUAUGGUGCAAGGAGUGGCCUGGCAUCUGCCCACUGAAUGGAGUCAAGUCAUUUUCCAAUGGUUUGGCUUUUUAUCUGGGGUCUACUAGGUGCCACUUCCCAUCUCCUCUAUAGUUUAGAGAGCUACAAGCUUACUCUCAUUAGCUUAUGUUUGCUUUCCUAAAUUAAGCCUUGCAUGACAGGGCUAGCACAUUGGCUGAAUGUGUCAGUGGAUUGUUUUAGCCAUGUUCUGCACUGCCAAGCUUAGCUCAGUGGAAAGAGUUUUCAGUUGUCACUGUGCAGUAGUGGAAUGGGGAAGCUGCAUCUGGUGGUCUCAAAGUUAGAAGUCUAAAAUGGUUUGAUUCCUUACAUGGGUACUCAUGGCACCAUAACCACUACAGUGCACUCUAGUGGUUAUGGUGCUUGAGAUGUUUGUUAAAAAAAAAAAGAAAUACAGUGAAUCCUUAAUCAUGUACCAUAUAGCAUAAUAGCUUAAAUGCUUUGAAUGUUAAUCUACAUCCUUCUGCACAGUGCAUUUUUAUGGAAGUUGAAUUUGUGUAGAAAUGGUAAGGAGUUCAAUUAUUAAUUAAAAAGCUUUUAUUUAAACAAAUGACUAUUUGUUGCAUUCAGGUGUUAAGGUCUUCUUUAAAUAUAUACAUGUGAACUCUUCAGGUUCAGCAC